GACGAACGCUGGCGGCGUGCUUAACACAUGCAAGUCGAACGGAAAGGCCCUGCUUUUGUGGGGUGCUCGAGUGGCGAACGGGUGAGUAACACGUGAGUAACCUGCCCUUGACUUUGGGAUAACUUCAGGAAACUGGGGCUAACACCGGAUAGGAGCUCCUGCUGCAUGGUGGGGGUUGGAAAGUUUCGGCGGUUGGGGAUGGACUCGCGGCUUAUCAGCUUGUUGGUGGGGUAGUGGCUUACCAAGGCUCUGACGGGUAGCCGGCCUGAGAGGGUGACCGGCCACAUUGGGACUGAGAUACGGCCCAGACUCCUACGGGAGGCAGCAGUGGGGAAUAUUGCACAAUGGGCGGAAGCCUGAUGCAGCAACGCCGCGUGCGGGAUGACGGCCUUCGGGUUGUAAACCGCUUUCGCCUGUGACGAAGCGUGAGUGACGGUAAUGGGUAAAGAAGCACCGGCUAACUACGUG
rnacentral:rRNA from 1 species